CGAAAGGGCAACAGCCCAGAUCGUCAGCUAAGGUCCCUAAAUGUAAGUUAAGUGGUAAAGGAUGUGGGAUUGCACAGACAACCAGGAUGUUGGCUUAGAAGCAGCCACUCAUUCAAAGAGUGCGUAAUAGCUCACUGGUCGAGUGAUCCUGCGCCGAAGAUUUCCGGGGCUAAAACUUCCUACCGAAGCUACGGCAUCAGUAAUGAUGGGUAGGGGAGCUUCCCAUACGGGUUGAAGCAUGACCGUAAGGACAUGUGGACAGUAUGGGAG
rnacentral:rRNA from 1 species